rnacentral:lncRNA from 1 species
GGCAUCUGCAAUGGAGACUGGCAAGCAUAAGAUAAGAGUUAACAGCAUUGCCCGGGGCUUGCACUUGGGCGACAAGUAUCUAAGCAGAAUAAAUGAUGAAUAUUUUGAUUAGCCUCAGAUACAUUCUGGAAUUAAAUCUGUGCCAGAGAUGUUACAUGGCUAGUGGUGCCAUUUGAAGAUCUGAGUGCAGUUGGGACUUACAUGUACAAUUUGGUACAUGGUUUGUCGAAAUAAAGUUUUUUCAAGAAACAGGCAGUCAUGACUGCUACUGAGAUUUCUUACCGUGGCAUAGAGUGAGUACUCUUCUUUAAUUUAUCUAUUUAUUCAUGAGUGAUUCAAUUGAUUUACAAUCUUAUAUAACAGUAUAUACGAACAUGUCUUUAAAUACACGCUCGAUAAGCUCGCCAGGAAGAGUAUUAGACUACAAGUGAGGAUCUUCACUGCUAUUAUAAGAAGAUCCACUUAGCCAUUCCACCAUUGUUGCAUUUUUUACAGGCAUGGUGGGCCUCCAUUCAUUAAGCUAAAGAUAUAUCAUUAUGCAUUGUUGACAAGCUAGGAGAUCAUGGAGCUAUUGCACUUCUUGUUCUUAUGUUUGAAAACAACAUGGAGCAUCACAUCC